rnacentral:rRNA from 1 species
AACCACGUGCCUACAAGGUGUCGGAGCAUAUCUUCGGAUAUGUGACGGCGUGCCUUUUGCAUAAUGAGUCUGCGAGUUAUCGUUCGUGGCAAGCCUAAGUAUUUCUGAUAUGGAGGCGAAGCGAAAGCGAGUGUGACAAGCGCGACAUUAGUCGCGGGCGAUAGACCCGAAGCGGAGGUGAUCUAGCCAUGGCCAGGUUGAAGCUGCAGUAACAUGUAGUGGAGGACCGAACCAGUGUACGUUGAAAAGUGCUUGGAUGAGCUGUGGCUAGGAGUGAAAGGCUAAUCAAACCCCGUAAUAGCUGGUUCUCUCCGAAAUAGCUUUAGGGCUAGCGUCAGGCAAGGAUUCGAGGGGUAGAGCACUGAAUGGCUUAGGGCCCAUACCCGGGUACCAAAACCAAUUAAACUCCGAAUACUCGAACUCCGUACUGGCAGUCAGACCGUGGGAGAUAACUUUCAUGGUCGAAAGGGAAACAACCCAGAUCGCCGGCUAAGGUGCCCAAACUGGAUUAAGUGGUAAGGAUGUGAAAUUGCAUAGACAGUGAGGAUGUUGGCUUAGAGGCAGCCAUCAUUUAAACAUAGCGUAACAGCUGACUCAUCGAGCGAUUUUGCGCCGAAAAUGAUUGGCGAUUAAAUCCAGUACCGAAGCCGCGGAUGCAUAUUACAUUCGUGUGAUAUGCGUGGUAGGAGAGCGUUGUCUGUGCGUUGAAGCGAAACUGUAAGGGAUCGUGGAGCGCAGACAAGUGAGGAUGCAGACAUGAGUAGCGAUAAAACAGGUGAGAAUCCUGUUCGCCGUAAACCCAAGGUUUCCUAGGAUGUUUAAUCCACCACGGGUUAGUCGGGACCUAAGGCGAGGCCGUAGGGCGUAGUCGAUGGAAAGCAGGUUAAUAUUCCUGCACCGGCAGGUGACUAUCACGGAAGGGACGCGGCACUGGAGGCAAACAGGUAUACUGUAUUCUGAGUUUAGGCUUCGGCCGAAACGUAUUGCCAAAGGUGUUGCCUAGAAAAGCUUCCGCUUUACUACACCUGUCGCCCGUACCUUAAACCGCCACAGGUGGGUGGGUCGAGUAGACCAAGGCGCGCGAGAGAAACCUCUUUAAGGAACUCUGCAAUCUAGCCCCGUAACUUCGGAAGAAGGGGUGCCAUCUUCGGGUGGCCACAGUAAAGGGUGACUGGCGACUGUUUACCAAAAACACAGCUCUCUGCUAAGAUGUUAAGUCUACGUAUAGGGAGUGACACGUGACCAAUGCCGAAAGAUCAAGGAUGUUCUGUUUACGCAGGGCACCUAAGUCCCGGUGAAUGUCGGCCGUAACUAUAACGGUCCUAAGGUAGCGAAAUUCCUUGUCGGGUAAGUUCCGACCUGCACGAAUCG